CUUAGGUAGGAUCUCAAUGAUAAUUACCUUGUUAUAGGUUCGUACUUCGUAGGUUUUAGAGCUAUAGUUACAAGUCUUAUAAUGUGUAGUUAAAUGAAAAUUGGAAAACCUCAACGUCAGAAAUUGCGGAAUAUUCUUCAGCAAUAAUGUUUUAGAGAUUUGACAGUGACUGAAGUUAAUAUUAGUAUUUACCUUCUAUUUAAUUUGCCUCUGCUUUGCUCUUAUUUUCUGUAUUUGAUUAGUCCUUUGUUAUUCUGCAGCCAUUAUUUCUCUUGCAUUCGUGAUUAUUCAUACUUUUUCCAUGAUUAUUGCGUUCAAUGGAUACGCUGAUGGGAGGAAAGUUGACCAAGUAAUGGUUCCUGUCGUUCAUAUUCUUGCUGCUGUCAUGACGCUCAUGAAUCUUGCACCAGGCGGUUGCAGUAUAGGUGUUCCUCUUCUUUGCUGCGUUGGAGCUAUAACUAUGUACUAUUGCUGGCAGAUGGUCUGGAGGAAACUGACCGAGCAUGGAAGAAGACAGAGGAAUGCUUCUGAAAUCCAUAUCUCCUGAUACAUUCGUAGUACACUCAGAAAUGCCGCAUUUCUGCACUUUUUUCAUGAUAUAGAAAUGAAAACACUGUCAAUGAAAACACUUUAUCGAGUUACCGAUGAUCACAUGUAAUAACUACUAAGAUGUACAAAACUUCAUUGUAGGGUCUCGAGAAAUGUCGGAUUAUAUUAUGCCAACUGCAUGCAGUCUUAUUUUAUAUUUUUUUUAUGAGAUUAUUUUUGUGAUACGAA